AUGGACUGGCCUGUCUUCUUUGCUCCAGCAUCCAAGACCAGCCCCAGUGUCUUCCCACUAAGUCCCCAGAGUGCUACAUCCAAUGAGAAAGUGGCCAUUGCCUGCCUAGUCCAGGGUUUCUUCCCAUCGGAGCCCUUGAAUGUGACCUGGAACCACAGUGGAGAGAAAGUGACUGUUACGACCUUCCCCCCGAUCGAGGCCGCUUCCGGAGGCCUGUACACCCUGAGCAGCGAGCUCUCCCUGCCUGCCGCCCAGUGCCCGGACACCGCAUCCUUCAAGUGCCAAGUGCAGCAGGAUUCAAGCUCAGUGCUGGAGGCCACGGUGCCUUGCAAAGUUCCAGACAGUGACUGUCCGUGCUCUUGCUGCCAGCCACGCUUGUCACUGCACCGGCCAGCCCUAGAGGAUCUGCUCCUGGGCUCGGAUGCCAAUCUCACAUGCACGCUGAGUGGCCUGAAGGAUCCCAAUGGUGCCACCUUCACCUGGCAGCCCUCAGAAGGAAAGGAGGCUGUGCAAAGUUCACCUGAACGCGACUCCUGCGGCUGCUUCAGCGUGUCCAGCGUGCUUCCUGGCUGUGCGGAGCCCUGGAAGAGCGGGAAGAACUUCUCCUGUUCUGUUACCCACCCCGAGGCCGCGAACCUACAACCUGUCACCAUCUUCAAAAACACAGGGAGCAGCUUCCGACCCCAGGUCCACCUGCUGCCACCGCCAGCAGAGGAGCUGGCACUGAAUGAACUGGUGACACUGACGUGCCUGGUGCGUGGCUUCAGCCCCAAAGAUGUGCUGGUGCGCUGGCUGCACGGGUCCCAGCAGCUGCCCCAAGACAAUUAUGUGACCUGGCCCCCACGGCAAGAGCCAGGCCAGAGUGCUACCACCUUCGCUGUGACCAGCGUGCUGCGUGUGGAUGCCAACGACUGGAAGCAGGGUGAUAAUUUCUCCUGCAUGGUGGGCCAUGAGGCCCUGCCCCUGGCCUUCACCCAGAAGACCAUCGACCGGUUGGCUGGUUGGUGGCAGCCAUGCCCGUGGCUGGUGUUGGACCUGUCACAGGACAGCCUGGAGGAGGAGGCAUCAGGGGCCAGCCUGUGGCCGACCACUGUCACUCUGCUCACACUCUUCCUGCUCAGCCUCGUUUACAGCACAGCACUGACAGUGACCAGCAUCUGGGGCCCCCAGGGAAGCAAGGAGGGCCCUCAGUACUGACCAGAGCUGCAGGCCCAGGUGGAAGCACCAUGGAGCCCUGGAGAAGUCUGCUCUGGAUGCCAGAAAUCGGACCUGCUGUGAAGUUCCCACUACCCCUAUAUCGGCAUGCCCCAUGCAAUAAACAGAUCCUAAAGCCAAACUCUCUCAGAG